ACCUUAAAGUAUAUAUGACGAACUGGAGAUUCAAUAGUCUUCAAUUUUUGUUUACCCUUGUAGAACAAGUCAGAUACAUCUUAAAUAGAUAUUAUACUAUUUAAUCAUUUAAUAACCAAAUAUAUUGUGUAAAAUGCAUUUUUGGUUAAGAUUGAAUUUUAUUGAAUAAAAUAAUAAAGUUUGAAAUAUUCAAUCAAUAAUUAUUUUAUUUUAUUGCGACUCAACUUGGACUUUAUUAAAGUUUACUAGAUUUUAAUUUAAAUAGGGAUUAAUUUUCAGUAAUUUUUGCAUUGGUCUUAUUGUAUAGUUUAUAAUUUGACGACCUAAAUUUGUUAUAUUUAGAUAACCUAUAAAUUAAUGAGAUUUCACAUUUAUAUGGAGUUGUAUCUUGUAAUCGUUUAAUAAUUAUAAUAAAGGUAAUAUUUUUUUUGAUGUUAAAUUAUAAUAACCCAAGUACUUAAGAUGGGUAAAAAUUAAUGACAAUCUUUUAUCGUAUCAUAAUAAUAUUACAUAUUAUUAUACAGAAAUGUAAUAAUAUAAUUCCAUUGUAGGAAAUUUGCCCUUAAACAUAAAAUAAAAAAAAUAUACAUAUAUAUAUAUCUACAUAAAGCCGCAGUCUCGGAACUCUGCAGGCGAACUGUUUAAAAACGAAAAUAUAAUAGAAAGUACAAUAAAAAGGCAAUCCACUGAUAUAUAUUAUAUCUAUGUAUAAUAUUUUAUAUUACAUCGUGUGACCUACUUCGUACUGAUAAAAAAACCUUAUGUCCUCUUUAGUGUAUGUUAAAAAAAUACAACUCUUAAAAACUUAGGGAUCACACACACACACACACACACACACACACACACACACACACACAUACACACAUGCACACACACACACUCUAGAAUAAGGUUCGGUGUCGUCUGGGUUGGAUAAAAGGGAUCCGAUGCUAUUGCUUCGAUGCUCCGAUGCUCCUGCUGCCGCUACCAUUUCCGCCGACUACACUGCCAGAAAUCGUGUGCGUUUGCACAUGCCAUUUGUUCGUUUUGUAUUACCAUAAUGAACGACCGUCCCGCGAUCUGAAUGCAUACAGCGAAUAGGCUACCGCGGUAGUGUACGGUUUGGUUGGCGAUGACUCGUAUCGUCGUCGUCGCUGUGCGGUCGUAGUUAUGUCGUCGUUCCCUUCAUAAUUGCAAGACACUCUGCCUGCAACGAAUAAUGUAUAUAAACCCACCUCGGUCUAUACUUCAUCUCUUUCUGUCCUCCCGGCGCGCCGCGGGAAUAACAAGCUGCCAAACUGCACCGACAGGAGACUGUACAACGGACAAAACGCCAUAACCCAAGUCCUCUCCCCGACUCCGUCACACUCCAUCCUCCUCCGUCGUUAACACACUAUCCCUUGUCUAAGAUUCCGGCGGGCAGCCCUCUUAGAGCGGUGCACGACGCACCUUUGGGGUGUACCGCGAACACGGUAUUCGUGGCUCAAAAUGUCGUUAAUCAUUGUGCCCGAUGGCGUCAGUAUAGCAAUGGUGGUUUAAAAGUUGACACGGACACGGUUUUGUCGCACUGUAUAUAUAUAUAUAUAUAUAUAUAUAUAUAUUGUAAGGUUACCUAUCAUCGCUAUAGGUAGUCCGACGACGGAUUAUACGUUUAAACUACAAUAUUACGAUUAUGAUAUAAUCGUGUAUCGCUUCCACGGGGUCGAGACUCGGGGAUUAUUUAUCUCAGAUGAGUCAAGUACAUCGUAUUGUAAUUACCUAGCUAAUGUCAUUUUAUAACAUAUGUUCAGAUUACAUCACUUACCGGUAGGCGUACGAGGUUGACAACAAAAUAAGCUGAGCAAAUCCGUACUCGACAUGAUAACUACGCGAUUAGAUACUUGUGCAAAAAGCAUCGUUUAAUCAUUAUUAUAGUUUACUCUUAUUGUACUACGUUGUUAUAAUAUGUAUUUUCUUUUAACUUAUUCUCUACUGGUGAGUCUCUCACCUUAUUAUACGUCUGACAAGUUGACAUUUUAAGAAUUCAAGAUUCUCAAUUUUGUUCACUCUAUUCAUAAUUUAAAUAAUAAUUGAUGGUGGCUACAGUUAUUUUUCUGUUUACAAUAUAUAAAACUAACUGACAUUGUCAUUGUCAUUAUUAUUUAUUUAUUUUUUAAAACACAACAUAUAACAGCUGUCGUUGUUAACUCGUAUGGGCUAGUGAGAGAGGAAGAGCAUAGCACACAUGUGAAACGUGAAAUACACAAACACUAAUGAUCAUUUUUAUUAAAGGCAUACUCAAAUGGUACGAAACGAACGCACGCCCUUAUAUCGAUAGAAUUGAACUCCUUAAAGAAGGUCGGUAUCAAAUCCUCUUAAAAUGAAAACAAAAUUAAAUUAAUUUGUUUCGAUGUUUACACUCCUUUUCAAGUAUACACUUUAAGUAACAUACUAUACAAAUCAUGUAAUGACAAUACUUACAUGUAAAAUCAUCAUCAUAUUGCUGAUUAUUAUUCAUAUUCAUACAUAAUAAAUAUUAAAUUAUUUAUAGAUUAUGAUUAAAUAUAAUUUAUUUUUAUUUAUUUUAUACUAUUUAAUGUCUAUUAAAAAAUAUGAUGCAUAUGCAUUAUGCAAUUAUACCAGCAGAUACGUAUCAUUACAAUUUAAUUAAGUAAAACAACUAUCCAUUUGUUUUAAUAUUUUUAGUGAUAAAAUUAUAUUGUUAUUGUAUUUAUAUAAAAAAUAAGAAUUAUUAAAAACACAAAUAUUAUGAGCAUGUUACUAAUUUAAACGAAUAGUAUAAGUACGUAUAUAAUGUAUCAAUGCAGUGGCGAAGCCAGAGGAGGGGCUGAGGGGGCUGCAGUCCUCCCAGAAAUUUUAAGAAAAUUGAAAAUUUAUUUUAAUGGUCAAUUAAACACGCUGCAAAAGUCUUAAAUUGUAUUUUACGGAUUUUAUAUUGUCAUAGCUUUUUUUAUUUGUUAUAAUAUAUAUAUUAAAAAUACUUUGACAUCUGCAUUUUACACUUAUGGAAAAAACUAGGUAAACCACAGCUGAGAAAAAAUUUAGCCUCCUCCGAAAAAAAAAUCCUGGCUACGCCACUCUACCAAUGUAUAAUUAUAUUGUAAUAAUUGUAAUAAUAUUGGGUGAAUUGAAUAUAUUUGUCUAUGAUUUUUAUUUAAAAUCAUUUAUAUUUAAAUACUUUUUUUUUAAAUAUUCGUGUCUUAACUUAAAUAUGGCAAACCACUCGUUUGAUUACAUAAAUAAAAAAUAUCUAUAAAACAAUAAAAUAUAAUAUUUGAUUA